CAUGCCUUCCCACCUUCAACUCCCUCUUCCCCCGUUUCAUUUUCCUUCUCUCUGAUGUUGCUUUCUUUCUCGUACUCUCUUUCCAUGGAUCCCUCUGUUAGACGGCAUAGGUCUUCAGCUUCAAUGCAAAGGCUGUUUUCUGUCAGUCCGGCACACCAUCCCUGCAAGAUGCCAUCUCGCUCGCAUUCUUCCCAACAACGCUAGACAGGACUGAGGAAUCUGAAAGGCAUUAUUGGUGCUCCAGCAGCUUGACGCGCCUCGUGCACUUGACUCGCCCGAUUUGCAUAUGCAGUGCAGCCCAUACUUAAUGAGUGUGAGUAAUUAUGCCAAUCAGACUUUCGGGGAUGCCACUGACCUUCUGGUGAGACUUCAGGAAGGAUGGGUUUAAAUUGCCUUUCAUGGGAAGGUCAGUAUUAAAGAUUCUGCACCCCACCAUAGUCACGACACAGAAAUGUCUACUUCUGAAUUAAAAACCAAAGACAAUGAGGAUCUUUAUGAGGGCAAGAAGUGAUGAAUAAACCAUCCACUGAGUCCUUGCCAGAAGGCAGGCUUUGAAGGAAUCAAGAGCAGG